rnacentral:rRNA from 1 species
CCUACGGGUGGCUGCAGUGGGGGAUAUUGCACAAUGGGGGAAACCCUGAUGCAGCGACGCCGCGUGGGUGAAGAAGCGCCUCGGCGCGUAAAGCCCUGUCAGCAGGGAAGAAAAUGACGGUACCUGAAGAAGAAGCCCCGGCUAACUACGUGCCAGCAGCCGCGGUAAUACGUAGGGGGCAAGCGUUAUCCGGAUUUACGGGGUGUAAAGGGGGCGCAGACGGCGAUGCAAGCCAGGAGUGAAAGGCCGGGGCCCAACCACGGGACUGCUCUUGGAACUGCGUGGCUAGAGUGCAGGAGGGGCAGGCGGAAUGCGUGGUGUAGCGGUGAAAUGCGUAGAUAUCAGGAGGAACACCGGUGGCGAAGGCGGCCUGCUGGACUGCAACUGACGUUGAGGCCCGAAAGCGUGGGGAGCAAACAGGAUUAGAUACCCUGGUAGUC